CUAAGACUCCGCGCACUUCCUCUCCGGGCCUCCGGACUCGCUCAGAAACGCAGCAAAGCCGCGACAUCUGGCUGGGCGCACUCCAGGUUCCGAAAGCUGUCCAGGAGGCCCGGCCGGCGGCGGGGCGGGCGCUCGGCUCGCCCUCCUCCGGGGCAGGGGCAGGGGCAGAAGGCGGAGCGAGCAGUCCACGCCCUCCUCCGGCCGAGCUCACUCAGUCGGCGCGCAGGCGACAGGGACACCGGAUCGGCUUUCUGGAGCGCCGGUCCCGGCGGGCCCACUCCGCGAGGGCCGGAGCGCGCCGACCCACGGGGCAGCAGGCGGCGGACGGCGGGCUCGCGCAGCCGGGGGCGGGGAGCGCGGGGCCGCCCCGCCGGUGUCGCAGCCGACGGCUCAGCCCGCGGCGACCCUCGUCAGGCUCCGCGCCGGCGACGCUGCCGGGCGUCGGGGCAAUCCUGGACUGCCCCCGCCGCCUCGUCCUCCACCCGGCCCCGGCCCCGGCCCCCGCCUCGGCCUCGGGAAGCUGCCCGCGGAAAAGCGAAAGCGAAUCCUUCGAGAAGAAGCAUGUAUGUGUUAGCGGAAGUUUGAGUGGAGAGAGGAAAGACUCUGCCGUGUUAGAGGCAUCAUUCAACUCCAGGAGUUACUGCCUUUACCGUUAG
rnacentral:lncRNA from 1 species